AUGGAAACCACCGCCAGUGGGUGCGGGAUCAUUGAGCAGCGGCAUAGUCGUUUUGUGAUCGGAAGUCAGGGCGUGUCAUCAACGGAGUUGGUCGUGUCCGUGGAGUUCGUGGUUGUUGUCGUUGAUUUGGUCGUGGCCGUAUCUAGAAUCUGUGGUCACAGCGUGGGCUUGCAGAAUUGUUGCAGUGAGUUUGUAAUGCAAUUUUGA